CAUAUCUCCAGAUAUUUUUCAUGGCUCUAGGCUCUUAGCUCUCUCUUUCGCCAGCUUUCUCUCAGUCCAAUUUCGUUGUCUUUUUCUCAUGAAGCAGAUCCUCUCUUUUCCUUCGCGUUUCGGUUCUUCUCUUUCUCUGUUUCUUCAGCCACCGAUUACUAUUAUAUUGUCCGCCUGAGAUUGUAUUUUCUUGACCUUGGGUUUGCAUCCCUGUUUUUUCCAAGCGUAUAUUUUCGCACUGCAAGAACCUUUUCUUUGGAGCACAUGAAUGAACUUGAGUCGAUUUCAUUUUGGAUCCGCUUGGCUGCCGAGAAUCUUAUCCCAGACACGUUGCUAGCCAUAGCUAGCUCGGCUGCUCAUAAGAUAACAAUCCAGGAAAACCGGGUUUGUUUCAAAGCAAGAGUUGUCUUCAGCCAUCAGAUGAGGAUUAGGAUCGAAAACUUCCAAGGAAAUAUGGUGCCCUCCUUUGAAUAUGGAUGGGCAAGGCCACACAACGUCCGCCCACUGCAAGCUGGGAAAAGGGCGAGGGAUAGAAAAUUUGCCAGAAUUGGGCUGGUAUCAGCCAUAAAAUAAGAUAAUAGUUAAAAGAAAGCGGAUUUUGAUUCAAAGCACAGACGGUCUCCAGCCAUCAGAGAUCAUUAAAUCACUUCUUGAAGUUGCGUGCAUAACAUGGUGCAGAUUAGAACAAGAAGGAAGGUACAGCAUUACUUUGUUUUUUGAUGUUCUUCAUUGAACUGAAAUGUGCAGUUUUGUUCCCAGAGUAUUUUGUUUGAGAUGCUUAUGUUGUUAUGCUUGUCUAUAAGUUCUAAUCUUACUUGGAAGUACAUGUUGGUGUUGGUUUUUAGUUAUAUUUUUUCACCUGUCCUAUUUACCAAAAAGAUUACUAUUAUCAACCUUUUAGUCAGUUUGCUUCUUUCGAGGAUAAGACUUAAAGUCUGCUAAAAGACAGUUCACAUGCAAUCCAUUUCAAUUAGUCUUAGUACAGUUAAUCUUAUAAAGCUACAUAAGUAUCUG